rnacentral:rRNA from 1 species
UACGUAGGGUGCAAGCGUUGUCCGGAAUUAUUGGGCGUAAAGAGCUCGUAGGCGGUUAGUCGCGUCUGCUGUGAAAACUCGGGGCUUAACCCUGGGCCUGCAGUGGGUACGGGCUGACUAGAGUGCGGUAGGGGAGACUGGAAUUCCUGGUGUAGCGGUGAAAUGCGCAGAUAUCAGGAGGAACACCGGUGGCGAAGGCGGGUCUCUGGGCCGUAACUGACGCUGAGGUGCGAAAGCGUGGGGAGCAAACGGG